AACGUACGCUGGCGGCACGCCUAACACAUGCAAGUCGAACGAAGUAGCAAUACUUAGUGGCAGACGGGUGAGUAACAUGUAGGUAUCUGCCCUUUGGCCUGGAAUAACAAGAGGAAACUUGUGCUAAUACCGGAUAAGUCUUUACGGAGAAAGCUUUAUGCACCAUUGGAUGAGCCUGCACUUGAUUAGUUUGUUGGUGGGGUAAUGGCCUACCAAGACUGUGAUCAAUAGCUGAUUUGAGAGGAUGAUCAGCCACAUUGGGACUGAGACACGGCCCAAACUCCUACGGGAGGCAGCAGUGGGGAAUCUUGCACAAUGGAGGAAACUCUGAUGCAGAGAUGCCGCGUGAG
rnacentral:rRNA from 1 species